UUGAUUUCAUGCCACUGCGUGAUUUAAUGGGAUGACGCAGUUUAGCUGAAGGGUGAAGUUUUAUCAAAUGCCAAAAGUUUAAAAGAUCAUUGCCAGCAGGUUCUUGAAAUACUGCUAGUUCCGAAAUCAGUGGAGAGUGAAGAUCGAAGAUCGAGGAGGAUCUACUUCGACGGUGAAACGGGUUCGACCUUAUUUAAUCCUUAUUCGAAAGGAUUUCGUGGACUGUUCACGUGUUAAUCUCUGCGGGAAAGCAGGAGAUUGAGGACAGUGCGAUAAAGGAAAGAACCCCUUGCCGAACUCAUAUAUUCAUUGUUGCCGGAAUAUGUAACAGGAUGACAUCAGCUUUUCUGUCAAUGCAGAAGCAUCUCACCCACUUCCACGUAGCAAAUCAGUGGUCAGCACUUUACACCACUUAAUAUCUUUGAAUCCAAACCCCAGCUCCUGAAGGGAAAAAGGAAAAUAUGUGCGAAAGUCUGAGAUGCAUAUUCCCACAUAGCUGUCCAGAACACAGCAGGUAACCGUUUGAAUGAAGGUUCCCAGCCCGAGCUGUCGACUGGUUGCUGAGUUCCUCCAACAUUCUCUGUGUGUUUGCUUCUGUUUGUUUAUUGAUUAAAAUAAUCAGACUGGUUCAGUGGAAGAGGAAUUUGUGGAAUGGUCAGAGACAGUUUCAUACAGUAGUUUAUUUACCCAGGAACAUGCCAUUUCAGUUGUAAUCUGUGUAAAGAGGUGGUAUUACAGAGAGUUCUUGCGGUGAAGGAUCCUGAAUAUGAGCAGUGGCAGAUGUUUAAGGAGAAGGUUCGUUAGAGCCGACAUUUAUCCCGAUCAGACAGAGGAAUCACAGGGAGCAAACAACAGUCUGUGGUUAAAAGAGUUCAAGGUAAAUAUUAACUCAGAGAACAAACAAAGAGGCAACGACAGGGUGGACAAAACAGUCGGGAUUUUUCCAGUAACUCAUGAUGCGACAAAAGAUAAAAAUAUCAAGGAAAAACAGAUUAGUUAACUCAAUAAUUUCCAUUAGUGUUUUCAGUGGGGACACAGCAAACAUCCUACAGAUAUCUAACGGUGACAUUUCAAUGCUGUGCCAUAAUGUGUAGCAAUCACCAUCAGGGGUGAUAAACUAAUGGGACUAAAAGCAAAAAUAUCCAGUUCCCAACGACCUGCACCAGACGGUUUCACAGGAAGGCUGGAGAGAAAGUAGAGACAUUGGAAUCUGUCAAAAAUCACUGUUACAGAAAGGUCCCAGUGGAGCUGAAAACCAUUGCUGAAGGGUGGAAGAGAAAGGAAAACAAAGUAGGUAACUGUACUGGAGUCUAUAAUCUGUGAAGAAAUGACAAGUCAUUUAGAAAAGUUUAAUGUCAUUGAACUAAACCAAGAGGGUUUACAGUCAGAUUCACACAGCACAGAAACAAGUCUUCAGCUCAAAUGGUCCACACUGACCAAAAUUCCCAUCUGAGCUUCUGGUCUGUAACCGCCUCACAACGAUAUUAUGAACAAUGUUAUCCUCCGUCCUUGUCCCAUUUCCCACCUUCUGACCCAUAUCCUUCAAAACCUUUCCUUCCCAUUAGCCUGUCCGAGUACUGCUUCGAUGUACCUCAUUCAACCACUCCCCCAGUAGCUCAUUCCAUUUGCUGUCCAGCCUGUGCUUGGAAAUGUUGCCCUUCAGGUUCCUAUUAGAUCUCCUCUUACACCAAUGCCUUCCGGUUCCUGAUUCCCCAACACUGGCAGAAAGACUGUUUUAUUCGACCCACACUGCAAUACACCUCUGCAAUACCAGCACUCAUUCUCUGACAUUCCAGGGAAAAUUGUCCAAAACACCUUUCACAAUUCAGUCCUUUGAGAUCCAGUCACAUCCCAGUAAAUCUCCUCUGCACUCUUUCCAGCUGAUUGGUGUCUGUCAUACAGCAGGGCGACCUGAACUAAACACUAUUUGCAAAAUGCGGCGAAACCAACGUGGUGUGCAUCUGCACCAUUUCUUCCCAGCUUCUAUAUUCGGUGCCCUGACUGAAGGACAGUGUUCCAAACCCCUCUUCACCACCCUGUCCAUCUGGAACCUGGUCUUGGACCCUGUAACCUGGGUUACUGAAUAUUAAAACAAGACACAGAAAAUGCUGGAGGAACACAGCAGGCCAGGCAGCAUCUAUUAGGAGAAGCACUGUCGACGUUUCGGGCCGAGACCCUUCACCCCACACUCAGGUUGGAGGAAUAACACCUUUUAUACCAGCUGGUUAGCCUCCAACCUGAUGGCAUGAACAUUGACUUCUCUAACUUCCGUUAAUGCACCUUCUUACCCCAUCCCUGACAUAUUUAGUUUUUUUCCCCUUUCUCCCUUUAUUUUUUCUUUCUCUCUCUGCGCAUCACUCUGCCUGUUCUCCAUCUCCCUCUGGUGCUCCCCUCCCCUUUUCCUUCUCACUCGGCAUCCCGUCCCAUGAUCCUUUCCCUUCUCGAGCUCUGUAACCCUUUUACCAAUCACCUCUCUGGCUCUCAGCUUCACCCCACCCCCUCCGGUCUUCUCCUGACAUUUUGAAUUCCCCCCCACUUUCAAAUCUCUUACUAUCUUUCCGUUCAGUUAGUCCUGACGAAGGGUCUCGGCCCGAAACUUCGACAGCCCUUCUCCCUAUAGAUGCUGCCUCGCCUGUUGCGUUCCACCAGCAUUUUGUGUGAUACCAGAGUUUUGAGACUUUAUAGGGGAAGUUGGAGAAGUGUGUCUUUGUACUUUCAGGGGCAUUUACCACAUGUAAGGCAAGUGCACAAGACAAGAGCUCUGUGCUGGGAAGGAAGUGUGUUAAUAUUGAUUGAAGUCAGGUUAUCAUACUGAGACAGAAUAACGUGUAAGGAGGAUAUAAUUGGUGGAGUUUUCCAGGGAUCAUCAAUGACUUAUUGAUAUUAAUGACCCGAUGAAAGGGCAGAAUGUGCGGAAUCCACGGUGUCAAUGAUGGGGAACGUGAUGAGGGGACGUGUUGUGUUUGAACAUCUGGUCUCUCCAACAAGACAUGGGGAAGCUGGUGAGAAGAAUACUUGGUAAAUGAAGCUUAAUGUGGUAAAGUGUGAUGGCAUGCAGAGAAGCAGGAGGAAACAAAAGUCAGACAAUUAUUUAUGUAGAGAUAAAUUGUCAAUGAGAGAAAUAGAGAGGCGUCAAUGUGUUCUCCUGCACAACGAAGUAGAGAUGGGUGUAGUGAGUGGUUCAUAAAAUCAUAUAUGACCAAGGUUCAGAGGUGAAUGGUUCAUUGAUAUUUAUUGCUGUAGAGAAAUAGAGAGGUUUUGUUACAGUGUCAGACAAAUGCACAAUGAUGGAUUUUGCAAAGUUAAAGCA